UAUGGACUCUACUGUAAGUCGCUCUGGAAAAGAGUGUCUGCUAAAUUACUAAAA
rfam:Salmo salar isolate Sally breed double haploid chromosome ssa29, whole genome shotgun sequence.